AUGCUGGGAAGUUACCAGGGCUAUAAGAACUGAGGCAGGAGCUUUACUUAGAUCACCUGGAAAGGAGAGAAGUAGUAGAAGACUUCAGAUGGAACUUAAUAGCACCGAUGGCGAACGUGACUUCCUGAUGUCAGAGGAAGAAGAUUCUAUUUCAUGCGUUAAAAGAUCUCUAAAAAGAAAACUGGUGAAACACAGCACUCCAGUGGACUCAGUGUUCUCAGGAAAAACACCAUCUCUUUCAGGUCCAAUCAAUUGGUCAAUCAAUGACCAAGAUCUCAGUAAGAGAGCUUAUGUAUCCCCAGUGCCAAAAUCAGCUCUAGGAAAAUCAGUAGCUCAACUAUCAUUGGCAAGUGUUGAAGCAUACUUCCCUCAUAUGUCUCCAAAAAGGUAUUCAGUAGUAUUUGACUUGCAAGAUUCCAGUGGAGAGAGAAGCCAUAGUUCUCGAGCUGUGUAUUCUAGAAGACGACUUUCCACAGUAUUGGCAUCUGAUGAAUCAAUUGAAGAGACAAGUGAAAAGGUUGCCUCAAGUGCAGGAACUCAAACUCCCACAAAAGCAUCUGAGAAGUUAGCAGGAACUCCCAAGAGUGGAUCUUCAUGGAUGGUUUCUGGAAUACCAGGAAUAAAAGAUCCUCCAGUGUUGAAAAAGAAGAAAACUGAUAAAGCUAUUGUGGUAAUUAUAUUCUCCAUAUACUGUGAAAUAGCAUAUAGUUUUGUGCCAAUACUGUAUCUACACAUCUUUCUAGUAAUAGAAGAAUACUGUGGUUAUACAACAUUUCCACAACUUUAUUAAUAAGAAUGUAUGUCCCUGUUCAUACUGAUAACUUAGAUUGUGUGAUAUCACUCCAGCUAGACUAGAUGUGAUUUACUCAUUUGGUAUUUAAUUUAGCUUCUGCACUUGCAUGUCAAUAUAUGAAUGGUACUGCAGAAGUAGUUUGCUUCUCUGUAGGAGGAAUUUAAGAAUGGGAAGAGAUUAGUGGCUUAAACUGGAAAAAUUCUUAAAUUUCUUCAUGUUGGAGACUUAACUGAAAAUGCAGGAGUUAAAAAAAACAAUCUACUACUUGGCCUGUUUAAUUGAAAUCAUAACGCUUUAUAGAAAGAAUUCUAGUCAUUGCUAAUGUUAGUCUUGUGUACAACCCUUCAAUUAGUGUAAGGUAUCCUGGGAAAAGCUUAGAUUAGUAGUCCUUAUACAGGUGGUCUUGUUUGAUUAAAAUGGAAUUAGAGAUCUCAGCUUCCUGCAGCUUUGAUUAUCAGCAUGGACUCUGUGGCAAGUUCACAAAAAAGAAAAUAAGGCAAUGGAUUUGGAGUGUGAAGACUGUCAUGUUAGUGUGCAAACCAUCAAAUUCUGUUUUCUUGGAUUUAUCUGUGGGUUUUAUUUUUUUCUCCAUUUUAUUCACAGGUAUUUUGAAAGCUCAGGAAGAUAUGCUCACUCUGAGUUAAAGCUUCUUAGCUUAAAACAAAUAAAUGUUCAGCCCAAAUCUAGCUGUGCUUGUUU
rnacentral:lncRNA from 1 species